UCACUAAAACUCCUGCCGCUUACAGCCU
rnacentral:sRNA from 1 species